rnacentral:lncRNA from 1 species
CUCAAAUAGCUUAUUGGGUGUGUUCUUGUUUACCUCAGUUUUAGAGAUUUUAUAUUAAUAAGUCAAGUUACGAGCUCAAGAAUCGUCAGCAAAGUCUAUCACACUAUCGACUAAUCUCGGUAUUUUAUAAGCUGAAAUUUUUCGUUGAAAACUAUGGCAUGUAUAGGCUAGCUUUGGAGUUAGUUUAAUUCGAAAGUGUUUGUAUAAAAGCCAUCCGAAAAUGGCAUAAUUUUCC